rnacentral:tRNA from 1 species
AAAUAUAUAGUUUAUAUUAAAACAUUAUAAUUUCAUUAUAAUAAAAAUUAUUAUUUUAAUUUAUAUUUA